rnacentral:rRNA from 1 species
GGGUUGUGAGGUUAAGCGACUAAGCGUACACGGUGGAUGCCCUGGCAGUCAGAGGCGAUGAAGGACGUGCUAAUCUGCGAUAAGCGUCGGUAAGGUGAUAUGAACCGUUAUAACCGGCGAUUUCCGAAUGGGGAAACCCAGUGUGUUUCGACACACUAUCAUUAACUGAAUCCAUAGGUUAAUGAGGCGAACCGGGGGAACUGAAACAUCUAAGUACCCCGAGGAAAAGAAAUCAACCGAGAUUCCCCCAGUAGCGGCGAGCGAACGGGGAGCAGCCCAGAGUCUGAAUCAGUGUGUGUGUUAGUGGAAGCGUCUGGAAAGGCGCGCGAUACAGGGUGACAGCCCCGUACACAAAAAUGCACAUGCUGUGAGCUCGAUGAGUAGGGCGGGACACGUGGUAUCCUGUCUGAAUAUGGGGGGACCAUCCUCCAAGGCUAAAUACUCCUGACUGACCGAUAGUGAACCAGUACCGUGAGGGAAAGGCGAAAAGAACCCCGGCGAGGGGAGUGAAAAAGAACCUGAAACCGUGUACGUACAAGCAGUGGGAGCACGCUUAGGCGUGUGACUGCGUACCUUUUGUAUAAUGGGUCAGCGACUUAUAUUCUGUAGCAAGGUUAACCGAAUAGGGGAGCCGAAGGGAAACCGAGUCUUAACUGGGCGUUAAGUUG